ACAAAAGUAAGAUUUUGUGUAACACUUUUGAGUGUAAUUAUUUCUUGAAACACAUCUUGUUUAUUUUUACUAAUGAUUUGUAAAUCUUGUUGCAAAUUGGUAGCUAAAUGAAAAGUAUGUAUGUUAACGUUUUCUACUUUGGCAAUUACAUUUUUAAUUUAUGAUUACCCUUCACAGUAUUAGGUCAUUUGCUCUUACAUAUUCAAUAAAAAUUUGAAGGAAUAAAGACAGAAAUGAAGUGAUCUACUAUGAAACAAUUCUUUUAAUGUGUUUUAGGAAGACACAAUGAAUAUACCUCACUGUACUGCAUUGUAUUUGUUUCAUCUAAGACCUGUGAUGUUAGGAGUUUCAUGUGGGGAAAUAUCAUCUUUUUUUAUUGAUGUGUAUUUAGUGCUUUGAAAGGAGCAUAAACUCCACAAUAUAGGUGAUUUAGAUUAAAUUGUUGCUAACAAUUCUUUUCAAAUUUCAAUCCAGACAUCAACUGUUCUUCAAUAUUAAAGUUCUUGAACAUGUACCUUAUUUAGUUUUAAUGAUGAAGUUGUCUUGUAGGUUUAACAAAUGCAUACGUAGCAACAAAAUCUUCAAAUUAUGUAAAGUACAUUUUAUAAAAUAAUAAUUUGAGAGAAGAAACUGAAUAGAUAACAAAUAUGUGAAAAAAUUAUUCAGCUAUUUAAUGUUGUGAAUGAUUAAUUUUUUAACUCAGUACAAAAAAGGUAGAUUUUUUUAAAGUUGUUAUAGUAAAAAAAAUUAAUUCAUUUCUACAAGUGGAGUCCUUAAUGGGGUGUUAGACUAUUUCAUUCACUACAGAAACAGGAUCUUGAUAAUGUUAAAUGAAAAAUAUUUAAUAACAUGCAGAAACACUUCAUAACAGUACAAUGAAGUUUAUGUUUUGCUAAAAGUGAAAUUGUAUUUUUUGUGUGAAUCAUAAGGAAAAUUAUAUUACAUGUAGUGCAGUUUCUAUUUCAAUACAGCAAAUGCUUUUAUUUCUGUUGCCAUAAAAUAAACUUCAAGUCAUUAACUCUGGAAAGUUUAUAUGGUCAGGAAUCAUGAUCAGGGUACCUCCAAAUCUCCAUCCUACUGCUUGAUUUUUAGGUCCGUAAGACAUGGAAGGAUAAAAAUAUUAUUCUGUAGCUAUUCCUUUGUACCACUUCUGCAAAGAGCAAAGUAGCUACCCUGGGCAUUUCAGACUUCUGCCUUCAUAAUGUUGGCAUCCAUUAUCUGAGCCCCAGACAGAAAUGAUCAAGCUUAUUGUUAUAACUGCUUCUUUUCCUUCCCAGUGACCUUGAAAUAUGUUUCAUUAUUAUUUAACUCUUCGCCCACUGCUGACUGGCUCCUGUUAUUCUUAGAGGAAUAGGUUAAUCCUGUAGUUUAUGGGUUACAUAUAAUAAGCCACAGAAGGAGGAAGGAACUGCUCUAUUUUUUUCUCUGGGAAAUUAAAUCAAGAUUAAUUAAAGCAAGCAGGAACAGUAGGAUUGUGCUUUUAGGAGUUAGAAUUGUGUUUUCCUUUCACGUCAUCCACACCUUAUGCUAUCUGAUUUCAGACCAGUUAGUUUUGUGCCUUCUAGCUGAUAUCAUAUGAUAUUUAGAUAUUUUGCUGUAGGGUUUUUUCCAUAUUACUUCUUUUCAAAAUUCCUUCCAUUAUUUUUUCCAAUUGCAUUUGUAUUAUCCCUUUAUUUGCCAAGGUCAAAAGUCUUUAUAUUUCCUUGUGCAAUUUAAAAAAAAAAAAAAAUUUGCUUCUCUGCCAUGUCUUUAUGACUCUUAAUAUCUAACUUGGUGUUGGUGUUUUUUCUAUCAGUGUAAUUCAUGUUUUUCCACUGCUACAGAAUCAAAAAUUUCAGCUGUCUUCUGUGUGGGUGUCCUUGAAAAUUCCUUUUCCAAGGAUCUCAACUGCCUUGUGGAACAUGAUUACAGAAAUCUGUAUAAAUAGACUGUAGGUAAAUGAUCAUUGUCUUCUUUCUUCUAUUCCAUCACAAAAUUUCCUGAGAAAAGAGUACAUCUCCUCCCCUCAGAGGUGCUAGAAAUAGAAAAGCUGAUUGUUGCUAAGAUGAUGAGCAAGUAGAACACCUUAUCCAGGUAGUGUGCUUUACCAGUCUAAAAUUGAUCCAAACAAGUAAGUUCUAGAAGGAAAUUUAAAUCUGAAAUCUAUCUAGCAUACAAAUGUGUUAACCAAGCACAUACCUAAGCCAAUGUCUACAUCUGUUAUUCAGAGAAUAAAAUAGAAAAGAUCGAUUAAAUGCCAGCAGAGGACUUGUACUGGUUUAAUGUCACUAUGUACCCCUCUGACCCACACUGUACUGUCACUGUUCCUGCCCUCCCUUUAGUGCUGACCCAUAGUAUACUACAAAUAUACAGGCUAGACAUUAGGGAAAAGAAAUGCUCACAGAAAGAGUGGAUGGGUACUGGAAUGGGCUGCCCAGAAGGCGGUUUAGUCACUGUCCCUGGGGUGUUUAAUAAAAGACUGCAUGUGGCCAUGGUUUAGUUGAUAAGGUAGUGUUGAUCAUAGGUCGAACAUGAUGAUCUGAUUCUGUGACAAGUUCUUCAUCCAUGCCAGCUGAGCUCCAUGCAUGCUAACAGAUCAUUGACACAGACAACAACACCCCCAUGACCUCUUCCCUGCCCAUCCUUCAUAAAGAGCCAGUAGCCUUCCAUUCUAACCUUCCAUUUGUAGAAGCCAUCCCAUCACGUCUCUGUGAUGCUGGUGCUCUCCUGCUGACCUGUGACCUCUCUCCAGGCUCUGGACAUCUCUUGCUGGCACUGGCAUCAAACUGAUGGACUCAUCAGCCCCCAGCAGACCAGAUCAUACGCAUAAAGUACAGAGCAACCUGGUGGAUAGCUGCUUAUAAAAAACAGAUGUUUGAAUUCUUGUUAUUAUUCAUUAUCAGUGUCCAUGCUGAAUGAUAAUAAGAUGGCAUCAGAAAGAUACCUUUUUUUUUUUUUUCUUUUAAUGAGAAAACAUGAAUAGUAAAAUUCAUUCUGUGUACCUUUGGGAAUUUAUAUAGUGCUAAAAUUGAAAUUGUCAAGCCAUCUGUGCUGUUGAAUGUUAUGGUAAACCAAAUGUAGCAAUAGAAAUGGUGCUGUAAAACUCAUACUACCAGUGUCUCCAUCAUAACAUUCUAUUGCACUUACCCCGUGGCCUGACAGUUUUAUAUUGAAAAAUAGAUUUACCAUAGUGUCAGAUCAUGGAAUGAAGAAAUGACAGAAACUUGAUGUGGGAAAUAGAGAACGGGGAAAAAGGAACCAUGAAUAGUAAUUUUAGAAUUCUAGAAAAAGAGUAGAUACAGGCUUGAAAGACCAAAAUUAAGAGGAAUGUUGGCUGGAAUAAACUAACAUUCAGGAUUAGAUGUUAAUUAUUUUUAGCUGAUUUAAAUUACAUGGAAUGGUUUAAAAAUUUGGAAAUUCAUCUCAUCACUCUAACACAGUGAUUAUAUGCCACACACUUCUUGCACUACAUAUACACCAUAAUUGCAAAUAAUAUGGACAAAAAACCAUGAAGCACAAUUAUUCAGAAUUCAGAAUCUAUAAAAGGAAUAACUAGCUGCUAAAAACUGCAUAUUUGUUGGCAGUAGUCACUAGCAAGUUAAACAGUCUAAAGAAUAUAUAGAAUAUUGUAAUUUUAAGUGAAGCAUAGCAAUACAGAUGUCCUUUAUUUCCAGUACUUUUUUUGGAAUGUCAUAGAUGGAUUUUGAGAGACUUGAAAUAAUUCCAUGGUUCACCCUUCUCAGCUGUUUCCCUACAGUGAUGAUAUUUAACAAAGCAUUAUUUCAAGAAGUAAGAUAUUUUAGCUUUUUUAUCACUUGCUUCACUCUCUGACCUUGCCAAUCUGUUUCUUAUUAUAUUAGACCCCACAUUAGGGAAUAAAAGCAGAGAGAUUAAACAUUCUGAAAUUUCAGACUUCAUUAAACAUGUGGUGCUUUAUUCUUUGUGAAAAUAACAAACCUAUCAAAGAGAUCUUAAAAAAACAACUUUGCAAAAUAAACACAGUGGUCGUUUGUGCCCAGGGCACAGGUUUUGACUCCAAAGAAGCAUUAAUUAUCUAUAAGAAUAAAAAAUAUGAUUAAUUUUGUCGUAGUUCUUUCCAUUAGGAUCACAAUUAAUGAAGUUUUAUUGACUAUUAGUGUAAGUGGAAUAGGAGCUAUAUGAAAGCAUACUGACUUUAGCACUAAUUUGUACUAUGUUUAAAAUUUCAUAAAUAUGUUAGAAAUAAAAUUAUCUAAUUCUCAUCACAGUUGGGCACCUUUUGCACUGAUUUUCAGCUUUAACUUCUCCUACAUUGGGUUUUGAUUAACAGAAUGUUGAUCAGAUCAAUUCUGUGAUCAAGACACCCACUUUCCUCCAGGUGAGAGACAGAAAAAAAAAUCCAAAACAAGACCAACAAGGAACCUUCUAAAACCUCCUAAAAAACCCAACCAA